AGUAAGUUGGUCGAGUGAUUGUAA
rnacentral:siRNA from 1 species